CAUUGAGAAGAAUAUUCCCGGUAACAUGUUCAUAUCCAUAAAUCUUACGGGGAAUAUUCCCGGGCCUGAAUACGACCCUGUAUUCCUGACCUACUUAUUAUCCUGCUGUGCACGGGGCGCGCUGUGGUUCGGCGGAAAGCGUUUAGAUCUUGUGACGUCAUCGCUUGCAUUCGCGCGGUCAGUAAACCUUGUUCGGUAUUUUGCCCAUAACUUUGUCAGAUUUGGUCGUAGAACAAAAUUUUUUGCACUUUAUGUUUUAGUUUCUCAAGGACUAUAAAACUGCAUUUAUAACGUAAAACUAUUACAUGUCCCCAUUAAGAGUGUAUUAGAGAAUGUAGGGUAAAAGCCGGACGGAUACAUGCCCCGGUGUAUAAAAAACUAUGUUAAGAUUAUAAGUUAUGUUGGCGCUUUACUACAAUAAGCAGUGAGCGCCCUUCAGGCCUCAAUGCCGCGUAAGCCAUCGGAAUAGGCGCACGUGUUUUGUCCGUGUGAGCAAAAAUCUUCCGCGGCGAAACUUUGACGGGCGUUAUAAUUAUAUUGAUAAGCAAAAUGCCUCGCAAAUAUAAGCGAAAACCAGGCGUGGUGCCACGUAACAUCUACUGGACAGAAGAUAGCUUAGCACUUGCCUUCGAAGAAUUAAAACAAAA